GACCUCGUAGCUCAGCGGCAGAGCACCGGCCCCUCACGCCGGAAGCCGUGGGUUCGAAUCCCAUCGGGGUCG
rnacentral:tRNA from 1 species